rnacentral:rRNA from 1 species
UACGGGAGGCAGCAGUGGGGAAUAUUGCACAAUGGGCGAAAGCCUGAUGCAGCUAUGCCGCGUGUAUGAAGAAGGCCUUAGGGUUGUAAAGUACUUUCAUCGGGGAGGAAAAAACAAAACUAAUAAUUUUAUUUCUUGACGUUACCCGAAAAAGAAGCACCGGCUAACUCCGUGCCAGCAGCCGCGGUAAUACGGAGGGUGCUAGCGUUAAUCAGAAUUACUGGGCGUAAAGAGCACGUAGGUGGUUUUUUUAAGUCAGAUGUGAAAUCCCUGGGCUUAACCUGGAACUGCAUUUUGAAACUGAAAUACUAGAGUAUCGUAGAGGGAGGUAGAAUUCUAGGUGUAGCGGUGAAAUGCGUAGAUAUCUGGAGGAAUACCUGUGGCGAAAGCGGCCUCUAAACGAAUACUGACACUGAGGUGCGAAAGCGUUGGGGAGCAAACAGGGAUUAGAUACC